GCCCGAGUUGGCCAGGGUGCGGGCGCGCUCGUUGUUGGCGCGCGCGUCGGCGGCGCUGGCCUCGGCUUCGAGCAGGCUGGCGCGGGCC
rnacentral:tRNA from 1 species